rnacentral:rRNA from 1 species
GUCUAUGACCAUACCAUCCUAAAUGCACCCAAUCUCAUCUGAUCUCAGAAGCUAGGCAGGGUCAGGCCUGGUUAGUACUUGGAUGGGAGAGUUUACAUUAUACCACUUAGUGUAUGGAAA